AGUGAACGCUGGCGGUAGGCCUAACACAUGCAAGUCGAACGGCAGCACAGUAAGAGCUUGCUCUUACGGGUGGCGAGUGGCGGACGGGUGAGGAAUACAUCGGAAUCUACUUUUUCGUGGGGGAUAACGUAGGGAAACUUACGCUAAUACCGCAUACGACCUACGGGUGAAAGCAGGGGAUCUUCGGACCUUGCGCGAUUGAAUGAGCCGAUGUCGGAUUAGCUAGUUGGCGGGGUAAAGGCCCACCAAGGCGACGAUCCGUAGCUGGUCUGAGAGGAUGAUCAGCCACAAUGGAAAUGAGACACGGUCCAGACUCCUAAGGGAGGCAGCAGUGGGGAAUAUUGGACAAUGGGCGCAAGCCUGAUCCAGCCAUACCACGUGGGUGAAGAAGGACUUCGGGUUGUAAAGCCCUUUUGUGGGGAAAGAAAAGCAGCAGGUUAAUACCCCGCUGUUCUGACGGUACCCAAAGAAUAAGCACCGGCUAACUUCGUG
rnacentral:rRNA from 1 species